AAUGAACGCUGGCGGCGUGCCUAACACAUGCAAGUCGAACGAGAAAUUCCGACUUCGGUUGGGAAAGUAAAGUGGCGAACGGGUGAGUAACGCGUGGGUAAUCUACCCUUGAAUCUAGGAUAACUUCGCGAAAGCGUUGCUAAUACUGGAUAUUGUCCUUGUGGCUCCGGCCUUUGGGAUGAAAGAUGACCUCUUCUUGAAAGUUGUCGUUCAGGGAUGAGCCCGCGUACCAUUAGCUUGUUGGUGGGGUAAUGGCCUACCAAGGCGACGAUGGUUAGCUGGUCUGAGAGGAUGAUCAGCCACACUGGAACUGAAACACGGUCCAGACUCCUACGGUGGCAG
rnacentral:rRNA from 1 species